GACACCACUGAGUAAUCAAGGUUGUGCCUGAAUACAACCUCAGAAUCCUUCUCAACACCUGCAGAGAGCUGCCAUCUGGAUGAACAUUUUAGACCACCUAUGCGGUUAGAUGUGCUGUGAGUCAUGCUUGGGGACACAUGAAGGAUAUGACACCCCCCCACACUUGUCAGCUUCUGAUCACACACCGAGCUGGAUGGUGAAGACAGCUGUCCAGCACACUGGAGGGGUGGUGUGUUCCAGCCUGCGUAUGUUGGGCAGCCACCUGGAGAACCUGUUUGUUCACUCUCAGGAGGGAGCCAGAAAGAGCCGGUACAAGACUGCCCCCUCCUCUGCCAUACUGGCUCCCUGCUGCAGAGACCAGGAAGGCCCCACCCUCUGCAGAAAACCACAGCACCAGUGGUGAUGCCAUGUAUGAAGCUGAAUCACUGAAGUUCCACCAGCUGUCAGGCUGCACUGCUCCUGCUGCAGCUCAGAAAUUUUACAUUCGAUGCAAGUAUUGGAGGAUUUGAGCAUGGUAUCUCAAGCAGUUGCGCCUAAACAUUUACUAUUAAAAUAGAUGUUACUAUAAA
ensembl:lncRNA